CCUACGGGUGGCAGCAGUGGGGGAUCUUGCACAAUGGGGGAAACCCUGAUGCAGCGACGCCGCGUGUGGGAAGACGGUCCUCUGGAUUGUAAACCACUGUCCCCAGGGACGAAGAUGACGGUACCUGGGGAGGAAGCUCCGGCUAACUACGUGCCAGCAGCCGCGGUAAUACGUAGGGAGCAAGCGUUGUCCGGAAUUACUGGGUGUAAAGGGAGCGGAGGGGGGAUGGCAAGUUGGUGGUUAAAUCUACCGGCCAAACUGGUAGUCGCACUCAAAACUGCUAUACUUGAGUGAAGUAGAGGCAGGCGGAAGUCCUAGUGUAGCGGUGAAAUGCGUAGAUAUUAGGAGGAACACCAGUGGCGAAGGCGGCCUGCUGGGCUUCUACUGACGCUGAGGCUCGAAAGUGUGGGGAGCAAACAGGAUUAGAUACCCGGGUAGUC
rnacentral:rRNA from 1 species